rnacentral:ncRNA from 1 species
AGAAGAUUUUGCUGCGCUCGCCUCGUUGAUUGAUCGCUUCCGCGAGUUGAACUAUUCGAAGAAGCGUAAGAAGCGUGUAUUGACCCCGUAGAGACUUGCUCACAGGAGCAGAGUGUCCCGCCAUGACGGGAUGCUAAGACGUCGAUCUCCUUGAUCCGCUCGAAAGAGCUAUUAAGGAUGGUGGUAUAGUCCAAGCAACGAGUAAUCGUUGAGUAGUUGCGUGAGACAGGUUGGUCUCUAUCUGUUGCAGGCGUUGAUACUUGCGGGGAGUUGGCCCUAGUACGAGAGGACUGGGCUGAACGUACCUCUGGUCUACCGGCUUUGCCACCAGGCGAACCGCCGGGUAGCUAUGUAUGGACGGGAUAAGCGCUGAAAGCAUCUAAGCACGAAGCCCACCCCAAGAUUAGGUAUCGUCCGAAAGGACAAGAUCUCCUCGAAGACUACGAGGCUGAUAGGCUCUAGGUGUGCGCACCGUAAGGUGUUUAGCCAAGGAGUACUAAUGAUCUCCCGACCAUUCCAA